CAGUCGCCGCGGGAAUACGAAGGGGGCUAGCGUUGCUCGGAAUGACUGGGCGUAAAGGGCGCGUAGACGGCCUACACAGUCAGAUGUGAAAUUCCUGGGCUCAACCUGGGGACUGCAUUUGAUACGUGUAAGCUUGAGUGGAGAAGAGGGUCGUGGAAUUUCCAGUGUAGAGGUGAAAUUCGUAGAUAUUGGAAAGAACACCGGUGGCGAAGGCGGCGACCUGGUCUUUUACUGACGCUGAGGCGCGAAAGCGUGGGGAGCAAACCGGAUUAGAUACCCCAGUAGUCCCUGUCUCUUAUAC
rnacentral:rRNA from 1 species